GCCGACGUAGCACAAUUGGCAGAUGCGCUUGUCUUAGGAACAAGUUGGUGUGAGUUCGAAUCUCACCGUCGGUA
rnacentral:tRNA from 1 species